rnacentral:lncRNA from 1 species
UUUAAAAUAACAAGAGUCCUUUGUGCCUUUGGCUGGUAGGUGAGUGUGACACAGGAGGAGACCGUGACACACAUCUGUCAGAGGUCCAGAAGACUAUUGCUGUGCGAAGUUGGACACCUGAAGUUUGGUGAGAAGUUGCAGGCAGAAAAUUUGGGAUCGGGCUCUUGAAUCUACCUAAUUUACAGAUUGCAGAAACUCACCAGCUUUUAGUUCUUGGCAACAUAAAUAGUUGCUCAAGGCAAGAAGACCCAGAGCCAGCAAGACUGAAACAAAAAGCAAAGGAGGUGAGCAUGGGCAC